rnacentral:rRNA from 1 species
CCUACGGGUGGCAGCAGUGAGGAAUAUUGGUCAAUGGGCGCAAGCCUGAACCAGCCAAGUCGCGUGAGGGAGGACGGCCCUAUGGGUUGUAAACCUCUUUUGCCGGGGAGCAAGGCGCGGCACGUGUGGCGGGACGGAGAGUACCCGGAGAAAAAGCAACGGCUAACUCCGUGCCAGCAGCCGCGGUAAUACGGAGGAUGCGAGCGUGAGCGGGAUUUAUUGGGUUGAAAGGGUGCGUAGGCGGAUGGUUAAGUCAGGGGUCAAAUGUCGGGGCUCACCCCCGGCCCGCCGUUGAAACUGGCGUUCUUGAGUGGACGAGAAGUAUGCGGAAUGCGUGGUGUAGCGGUGACAUGCAUAGAUAUCACGCAGAACCCCGAUUGCGAAGGCAGCAUGCCGGCUUUCGCCUGACGCUGAGGCACGAAAGCGUGGGGAUCGAACAGGAUUAGAUACCCCAGUAGUC